rnacentral:rRNA from 1 species
AGCUAUUAGAUAGUAAUAAUAGUUUUUUCUGCUCAGUGCUAAUGUAAAUAGCUGCAGUAUAUUGACUGUACUAAGGUAGCAUAAUCAAUAGCUUUUUAAUUGAAGGCUGGUAUGAAGGGUUAAGACUAUAUAGAAGGUUUUAUCAGUUAAUUUUGAAUUUAAAUUAAUAGUAAAAAUUCUUUUAUAAAUCCUUGGGACGAGAAGACCCUAGAAGCUUUAAUGCAUUCGUAUUUUAGUUGGGGUGACUAAUGAAGAAAAUAAUCUUUAAUUUUUAAAGGAUUUGUUGAUUAAGUUACUCUAGGGAUAACAGCGUAAUUUAAUUUAAGAGUUCUUAUUAUAAAUUAAGUUUGCGACCUCGAUGUUGAAUUAAAUGGAAAUAAGGUGUAGAAGCUUUAUAGUUAUAGUCUGUUCGACUAUUAAAUUUUUACA